AUGUGCAUUCCUGUUAUGUGUCCUUGCUCUGUAUUUGCCGUUAAACAUGUGAAAUCUAUAUCCGCACUUCAUUUUAUUUUGUUACGAAAUUGUGCUGAUUUUCUCUAUUUUAUUUAUUCUGAAAUCACCUGGGAUCCUUAUCUUCUGAUCAUGCUUCAUUGCUCUUCAAUUCUUGGUAGUUAUUGGUUACUGUCAGAUCCUUUUAUUUGUUUAUGUUAUUGCUCUGCAAUUAUUGGUAUUAUUAGUUACUGUCAGAUCCAUUCAUUUGUUUGUGUUAUUGCUCUGCAAUUAUUGGUAGUUAUUAGUUACUGUCACUCCAUUUUAUAUGUUUCUGUUAUUGCUUCUGCAGUUCUUGGUAGUCAUUAG
rnacentral:rRNA from 1 species